GUACUUCGGCAGCACAUAUACUAAAAUUGAAACGAUACAGAGAAGAUUAGCAUGGCCCCUGCACAAGGAUGACAUGCAAAUUCAUGAAGUGUUCCAUAUUUUU
rnacentral:snRNA from 1 species